rfam:Cavia porcellus supercont2_30 genomic scaffold, whole genome shotgun sequence.
GUGUAGCUCAGUGGUAGAGCACUUGUCUGACACAUGUGAGAUCCUGGGUUCGACCCCCAGCAC